GACGAACGCUGGCGGCAAGCUUAACACAUGCAAGUCGAACGCCGUAGCAAUACGGAGUGGCAGACGGGUGAGUAACACGUGGGAACGUGCCUUUCGGCUCGGAACAACUGAGGGAAACUUCAGCUGAAACCGGAUACGCCCUUCGGGGGAAAGUUUACGCCGAAAGAUCGGCCCGCGUCAGAUUAGGUAGUUGGCGGGGUAAUGGCCCACCAAGCCGAUGAUCUGUAGCUGUUCUGAGAGGAAGAUCAGCCACACUGGGACUGAGACACGGCCCAGACUCCUACGGGAGGCAGCAGUGGGGAAUAUUGGACAAUGGGCGCAAGCCUGAUCCAGCUAUGCCGCGUGGAUGAAGAAGGCCUUCGGGUUGUAAAGUCCUUUCGGCGGGGAAGAUAAUGACGGUACCCGCAGAAGAAGCCCCGGCUAAUUUCGUGCCAGCCGCCGCCGUAAGAC
rnacentral:rRNA from 1 species